AAUGCGCAUGUGCGUGCGUCGUUGAGUUUUGUCUUGCUUCUACAACGCGGCGUCUUUGCUUAAUCCCACGUCGUCCUACAUCGAGGGUGGAAUUUUUCACAAAAAAAGUUUUAAACAAGGCAAGAAAAUGGCAGAACAGUUUUCAUCAGCAUCAAGUGAUUGCUCAUCAAGCACACCAAUAAAUUCAUCGUGAUUUAAAUUAAUUGUUUAGCUAAAUUAACAUCCAGUGGCUUUGAAAUUUGUCUUACUUUGUAAUAACGGUUUGUGUUCCCUUUUAUGUUUGCAUAAAAAUACUAUACAACGGCUACUGAUAUAUCAA